GGGUGCAUGGGGUCUUUGGUGAAGCUGAUGGAAUCAGCUAAACCAGAUGGGCUGCAAGAGGUAGCAGCUAAUGCUUUAGUUUCGCUGUUGGCUGUGAAGUCGAAUAGGAAGGAAUUGGUUAAGGACGAGAAGAGUGUGAUGAAGUUGGUCCAGAUGUUGGAUUCCAAGAAUGAUGCGGUUUCGAAGAAGUUCCCGGUGGCAGUGGUGGCGGCAAUCAUGGCAGGAGGGAGCCAGGGUUGUCGGAAGCGGCUAGUGGAGGCCGGAGCAUACGGACAUUUGCAGAAGCUGGCGGAGGCGGAGGUUGUGGGGGCUAAGAAGGCCUUGCAGAGACUCUCAGGCAAUAGGCUAAAGAGCAUUUUCACAAGGACAUGGAGUAAUUAGCUAAGCAACUAACCCCCGCCAACGAAGGGUGGUUGUUUGGAUUUUUCCCAACUGUCAAAUGUGGAAAACCAACUCAUUUCCUUCAAAGAAACCAACAAACAAUCACACACUCGGUAUACCCCAACUUUAACCUUAUACUAUAUUGUUUUCAAUUAUUAGAAAAAGAAAAAAAAGGAAGUUGAAUUUAUUCUAAACUAUAACACAUGGCAUGGAUGCGGUUUUUAGGGAGUAUCCUUGUUUGUUU
rnacentral:misc_RNA from 1 species